UACGGAGGGUGCAAGCGUUGCUCGGAAUUAUUGGGCGUAAAGGGUAGGUAGGUGGUCUUAUUUGUCUAGGGUGAAAUCCUUGAGCUUAACUCGAGAAGUGCCCUAGAAACGGUAAGACUAGAGUCCUGGAGAGGGUCGUGGAAUUCCCGGUGUAGCGGUGAAAUGCGUAGAGAUCGGGAGGAACACCAGUGGCGAAGGCGGCUCACUGGACCGGUUCUGACGCUGAGGCGCGAAAGCGUGGGGAGCAAACGGG
rnacentral:rRNA from 1 species